rnacentral:rRNA from 1 species
GAUGAACGCUGGCGGCGUGCUUAACACAUGCAAGUCGAACGGUGAACGAGGGAGCUUGCUCCCUCCGGAUCAGUGGCGAACGGGUGAGUAACACGUGAGCAAUCUGCCCUGGACUCUGGGAUAAGCGUUGGAAACGACGUCUAAUACCGGAUACGAGGCGUGGGGGCAUCCCCAACGCCUGGAAAGAAUUUCGGUCCAGGAUGAGCUCGCGGCCUAUCAGGUAGUUGGUGAGGUAAUGGCUCACCAAGCCUACGACGGGUAGCCGGCCUGAGAGGGUGACCGGCCACACUGGGACUGAGACACGGCCCAGACUCCUACGGGGGGCAGCAGUGGGGAAUAUUGCACAAUGGGCGCAAGCCUGAUGCAGCAACGCCGCGUGAGGGACGACGGCCUUCGGGUUGUAAACCUCUUUUAGCAGGGAAGAAGCGAAAGUGACGGUACCUGCAGAAAAAACACCGGCUAACUACGUGCCAGCCGCCGCUGUAA